AAAUGCCUAGGGCCUCUCCUCCCUAUCACAAGCACUAGCGUCCACUCCACAAGAGCAGUUGGAGGGUCUCGCAAGACUUACAAACUCUGAAUUUACAUCUCUUUGUGCACGCAAUCACCGAUACAAAGUAGGUGUGCAAAUCUCGCCUAACUCUAGUCUAAUCCCUAAAGUAAUGCGCUAAUAGGCCAAAACAAGCACUAAUCAAGACCUAAACCUUAUGCUAAUUGCCUUAAUCUUCUCUUUAGCACUUUGGUGGCCAAAGCACUUGUGUGUAUGUGAGAAUCAAGCCUAUAGCUUCUCAAACCUCUAACACCCCUCAAAUGGCCAGGCAAUAGGGUAUAUAUAGCCCCAACUCCCAGAAUUAGCCGUUGCAUAGCCGUUGUAACUUUCUGCGUAUCACUAACUCAUCCACUGCCCUAGUCUUUGUACCCACCAUAUGAAUCGGUGAGGCCCAAAUUAUACUCCAAACCUUCGAGAGCCGAUUUUGAGCCGAUGCUGAGCCAAGCCGUCGAUCAUCGACUUAUUCGGUGAUGGUCACUGUUCCCACCAAAUGAGUUGGUGGUAACACUGCACACGCCUACCUUUACCAUGCCACUGUCAUGUGGUCACCGAUUGAAUCGGUGAUGAUCACUAUUCCCACUAAAUGAGUCGGUGGUAACAGUGCUCACACCGAUCUUGGCUUAGCCUGUGAUCACCGACUGAAUCGGUGAUGGUUACUGUUUCGACCGUAUGAAUCGGUGCAAUGUGUUGGUGCAUAUUUCUAGCAGGAUUCGCUUCAAGUCUUUUUGUGUCUUUAUCCCGGCAUAUUUUUAGCAAGAUUCGCUUCAAUAUAUCUGGAUUUUUUGCUAUCAUUUGGAUACCACAGAAUUCUUCUAAGUCUUUCUUUUUCUUCUCAUUUUGAUGAUUUUGUAAUUCAUCUUUGGGACCAAUAAAACACCUAUAAAGAUACAUCUCAAAAACACAUUAGUCCUAAUGAGCAUGUUGUCAUUAUUCACCAAAAUGAUUAUGGCCUAGGGCCAUUUCCCUUACAUCUCCCCCUUUUUAGUGAUUGAUGACAACAUAAUCAAAGCAAGAGAUAAUAUAGAAAUUAAGCACAGCUUCUUGCUUGGAUGUUAUGCAAGAGCAAGAAUCAUGUACUAAUUGAAAUAUGCAAUUAACAUCAAAUUGAAGUAAACUAUAUGCAAUUAAUUCCAAUGCCACUUUUCUCCCUUUCUUGGACCAAAUUCUUGCAAUCUCCCCCAAGCUUGAAAUGUAGAAUCUCCCCUACACUUGAGGUUCUUGCUUUCUUGCAUGCCCCCCCC
rnacentral:lncRNA from 1 species